UAAUACGGAGGGUGCAAGCGUUGUCCGGAUUUAUUGGGUUUAAAGGGUGCGUAGGCGGCCCUGUAAGUCAGUGGUGAAAUACUGCAGCUUAACUGUAGCAUUGCCAUUGAUACUGUAGGGCUUGAGUACAGAUGAGGUAGGCGGAAUUGAUGGUGUAGCGGUGAAAUGCAUAGAUACCAUCAAGAACACCGAUUGCGAAGGCAGCUUACUAAGCUGUAACUGACGCUGAGGCACGAAAGCGUGGGGAUCGAACAGGAUUAGAUACCCUGGUAGUCCACGCUGUAAACGAUGAUUACUCGAUGUUCGCGAUAUACAGUGAGCGUCCAAGCGAAAGCGUUAAGUAAUCCACCUGGGGAGUACGCUCGCAAGAGUG
rnacentral:rRNA from 1 species